CGCCCAGACUCCUACGGGAGGCAGCAGUGGGGAAUAUUGCGCAAUGGUGGAAACCCUGACGCAGCAACGCCGCGUGAGUGAAGACGUAUCUCGGUAUGUAAAUCUCUAUCAGCGGGGAAGAAGGAAGACGGUACCCGACUAAGAAGCCCCGGCUAACUACGUGCCAGCAGCCGCGGUAAUACGGAGGGUGCAAGCGUUACUCGGAAUCACUGGGCGUAAAGAGCGCGUAGGCGGGAUAGCAAGUCAGAUGUGAAAUCCUAUGGCUUAACCAUAGAACUGCAUUUGAAACUGUUAUUCUAGAGUAUGGGAGAGGUAGGUGGAAUUCUUGGUGUAGGGGUAAAAUCCGUAGAGAUCAAGAGGAAUACUCAUUGCGAAGGCGACCUGCUAGAACAUAACUGACGCUGAUGCGCGAAAGCGUGGGGAGCAAACAGGAUUAGAUACCCGAGUAA
rnacentral:rRNA from 1 species